UUCGCAAUGCCCGAAAGGGUGACGAUGCGACGCCGCGUGAGCGAAGAAGGCCCUAGGGUUGUAAAGCUCUGUCGAGGGUUAUGAAAUAUAGAUGGGUUAAUACCCCAUUUACUUGACAAAAGCCCAAAAGGAAGCCACGGCUAACUCUGUGCCAGCAGCCGCGGUAAUACAGAGGUGGCGAGCGUUGUUCGGUAUUAUUGGGCGUAAAGAGCACGUAGGUGGUUUUGUAAGUCAGGUGUGAAAGCCUUCUGUUCAAAGGAAGAACGGCAUCUGAAACUGCAGAUCUUGAGUGUAGGAGGGGAGAGUGGAACUUCUGGUGGAGCGGUGAAAUGCGUAGAUAUCAGAAGGAACGUCGGCGGCGAAAGCGACUCUCUGGCCUAUUACUGACACUGAGGUGCGAAAGUUAGGGGAGCAAACGGGAUUAGAUACCCCGGUAGUCCUAACCGUAAACGAUGGGCACUAAGUAGAGGGGUUUU
rnacentral:rRNA from 1 species